UACGGGGGGAGCAAGCGUUGUUCGGAUUUACUGGGCGUAAAGGGCGCGUAGGCGGCCAUCGCAAGUCGGUUGUGAAAUCUCUGGGCUUAACCCAGAAAGGUCAACCGAUACUGCGGGGCUAGAGUGCAGAAGGGGCAACUGGAAUUCUCGGUGUAGCGGUGAAAUGCGUAGAUAUCGAGAGGAACACCUGCGGCGAAGGCGGGUUGCUGGGCUGACACUGACGCUGAAGCGCGAAAGCUAGGGGAGCGAACGGG
rnacentral:rRNA from 1 species